rnacentral:rRNA from 1 species
UUUAUGGAGAGUUUGAUCCUGGCUCAGGAUGAACGCUGGCGGCGUGCCUAAUACAUGCAAGUCGAGCGAACGGACGAGAAGCUUGCUUCUCUGAUGUUAGCGGCGGACGGGUGAGUAACACGUGGAUAACCUACCUAUAAGACUGGGAUAACUUCGGGAAACCGGAGCUAAUACCGGAUAAUAUUUUGAACCGCAUGGUUCAAAAGUGAAAGACGGUCUUGCUGUCA